rnacentral:rRNA from 1 species
CCCUUAGACGUUCUGGGCCGCACGCGCGCUACACUGACCAGUGCAACAAGCAUCCGUCCUUGGCCGACAGGCCCGGGCAAUCUUUGAACGCUGGUCGUGAUGGGGAUAGACUCUUGCAAUUUUUGGUCUUCAACGAGGAAUUCCUAGUAAACGCAAGUCAUCAACUUGCAUUGAUUACGUCCCUGCCCUUUGUACACACCGCCCGUCGCACCUACCGAUUGAAUGGUCCGGUGAAGCCUCCGGAUUGGCGCGCACCUCGGUGCCGCCGAGAAGUUGGCUAAACCUUACCAUUUAGAGGAAGGUGAAGUCGUAACA